rnacentral:lncRNA from 1 species
CUUUUGCCAACAUUACGGCUCCAGUCCCUAAGUUGAGCCUUUUAGACAUAGGUCCUCCAUUCCCUAGUCGUCUUUUGUCAACAUUAGGGCUCCAAUCCCUGAGUUGAGCCUUAUUAGAUAUAGGGCCUCCAUUCCCUAGUAGCCUUUUGCCAACAUUAGGGCUCUAAUCCCUGAGUUAAGCCUUUUUAGACAUAGGGCCUCCAUUCCCUAGUCACCUUUUGCCAACAUUAGGGCUUCAAUCCCUGAGUUGAGCUUUUUAGACAUAGGACCUCCAUUCCCUAGUAGCCUUUUGCCAACAUUAGGGCUCCAAUCCCAAAGUCGAGCCUUUUUAGACAUAGGGCCUCCAUUCCCUAGUUGCCUUUUGCCAACAUUACGGCUCCAGUCCCUGAAUUAAGACUUUUAGACAUAGGGCCUCCAUUCCCUAGUCGCCUUUUGGCAACAUUAGGUCUCCAAUCCCUGAGUUGAGCCUUUUUAGACAUAGGUCCUCCAUUCCCUAGUCUCCUUUUCUGCCAAUAUUAGGGCUCCAAUCCCAGAGUCGACCCUUUUUAGACAUAGGUCCUCCAUUCCCUAGUUGCCUUUUGCCAACACUACGGCUCCAGUCCCUGAGUUGAGCCUUUUAGACAUAGGGCCUCCAUUCCCUAGUCGCCUUUUCGCAACAUUAGGGCUCCAAUCCCUGAGUUGAGCCUUUUUAGACAUAGGGCCUCCAUUCCCUAGUCGCCCUUUGCUAAUAUUACGCUCCAAUCCCUGAGUUGAUUCUUUUAGACAUAGGGCCUCCAUUCCCUAGUCUCUUUUUGCCAACAUUAGGGCUCCAAUCCCUUAGUUGAGCCUUUUUAGACAUAGGGCCUCCAUUCCCUAGUCGCGUUUUGCCAACAUUAGGGCUCCAAUCCCAAAGUCGAGCCUUUUUAGACAUAGGGCCUCCAUUCCCUAGUAGCCUUUUGCCAACAUUAGGGCUCCAAUCCCUGAGUUGAGCCUUUUUAGACAUAGGUCCUCCAUUCCCUAGUCGCCUUUUCUGCCAAUAUUGGGGCUCCAAUCCCUGAGUUGAGCCUUUUAGACAUAGGGCCUCCAUUCCCUAGUCGCCUUUUACCAACAUUAGUGAUCCAAUCCCUGGGUUGAGCCUCAUUAGAUAUAGGGCCUCAAUUCCCUAGUCGCCUUUUGCCAACAUUAUGGCUCCAAUCCCUGAGUUGAGCCUUUUUAGACAUAGGGCCUCCAUUUCCUAGUUGCCUUUUGCCAACAUUAGGGCUCCAAUCCCUGAGUUGAGCCUUUUAGACAUAGGGCCUCCAUUCCCUAGUCGCUUUUUGCAAACAUUAGGGCUCCAAUCCCUGAGUUGAGCCUUUUUAUACAUAGAACCUCCAUUCCCUAGUCGCAUUUUGCCAACAUUAGGGCUCCAAUCCCUGAGUUGAGCCUUUUAGACAUAGGGCCUCCAUUCCCUAGUCGCCCUUUGCCAACAUUAGGGCUCCAAUCCUUGAGUUGAGCCUUUUUAGACAUAGGGCCUCCAUUCCCUAGUAGCCUUUUGCCAACAUUAGGGCUCCAAUCCCUGAGUUGAGCCUUUUUAGACAUAGGUCCUCCAUUCCCUAGUCGCCUUUUGCCAAUAUUAGGGCUCCAAUAACUGAGUUGAGCCUUUUUAGACAUAAGUCCUCCAUUCCCUAGUUGCCUUUUGCCAACAUUAUGGCUCCAAUCCCAGAGUCGAGCCUUUUUAGACAUAGGGCAUCCAUUCCCUAGUUGCCUUUUGGCAACAUUAGGGCUCCAAUCCCUGAGUUGAGCCUUUUUAGACAUAGGGCCUCAAUUCCCUAGUCGCCUUUUGCCAAUAUUAGGGCUCCAAUACCUGAGUUGAGCCUUUUAGACACGGGGCCUCCAUUUCCUAGUCAGCUUUUCUACCAAUUCUAGGGCUCCAAUCCCUGAGUUGAGCCUUUUAGACACGGGGCCUCCAUUCCCUAGUCGCCUUUUCUGCCAACAUUAGGGAUCCAAUCCCUGCGUUGAGCCUUUUAUUCAUGGGGCCUCUAUUACCUAGUCACCUUUUCUGCCAACAUUAGGGCUCCAAUCCCUGAGUUGAUGAUUUUAGACAUAGGGCCACCAUUCCCUAGUCGCCUUUUGCCAACAUUAGGGCUCCAAUCCCAAAGUUGAUCCUUUUUAGACAUAGGGCCUCCAUUCCCUAGUCACCUUUUGCCAACAUUAGGGCUUCAAUCCCUGAGUUGAGCUUUUUAGACAUACGACCUCCAUUCCCUAGUAUCCUUUUGCCAACAUUAAGGCUCCAAUACCAGAGUCGAGCCUUUUUAGAUAUAGGGCCUCCAUUCCCUAGUUGCCUUUUGCCUACAUUACGGCUCCAGUCCCUGAGUUGAGCCUUUUAGACAUAAGGCCUCCAUUCCCUAGUUGCCUUUUGGCAACAUUAGGACUCCAAUCUCUGAGUUGAGCCUUUUUAGACAUAGGUCCUCCAUUCCCUAGUCGCCUUUUCUGCUAAUAUUAGGGUUACAAUCCUUGAGUUGAGCCUUUUAGACAUAGGGCCUCCAUUCCCUAGUCUCCUUUUGCCAACAUUAAAGCUCCAAUCCCUGAGUUGAGCCUUUUAGACAUGGGGCCUCCAUUCCCUAGUCGCCUUUUCUACCAAUAUUAGGGCUCCAAUCCCUGGGUUGAGCCUUUUAGACAUAGGGCCUCUAUUCCCUAGUCACCUUUUGCAACCAUUAGGGCUCCAAUCUUUGAGUUGAGCCUUUUUAGACAUAUGGUCUCCAUUCCCUAGUCGCCCUUUGCUAAUAUUACGCUCCAAUCCCUGAGUUGAUUCUUUUAGACAUAGGGCCUCCAUUCCCAAGUCUUUUUUUGCCAACAUUAGGUUUCCAAUCCCUUAGUUGAGCCUUUUUAGAUAUAGGGCCUCCAUUCCCUAGUUGCCUUUUGCCAACAUUAGGGCUCCAAUAACUGAGUUAAG